UCUCAUCUUCCUCACGCAGCACAACAAUGGCGAUUUCUUCCACUCUCCAAGCCCAGCCCUCUCCCGGAAGCAGUAGUGUUGGUCAUGUCGUCUCCAAUGAUGAUAACCUCUUGUUCUUAGCGCUUAUUUUCUAUGUGAUUAUCGAGAAAAUGAUAUUUGUGUAAGUAUAUAAAAUCAUCUCCCUAUAUAUAUAUAUAUUUAAAUGUAGUUUUGUAGCUUAGACACGUUCGAAAUGUGAGUCAGAGGAACCAUUGAAGAAUCACUUCCCUCCCAAACAGUAGUAGCUUUCACUUUUGAAUCUUUCUCUUGGAAGCAUCUAUGAAGUUUCUCUUCCAGGUAAAGCAUCUUUUUUAAUGCGUCUCUCUCUUUAAUAUUGCGUCAUAGUUGAGAAAAUUGACAAAAGUAAAUGCAACUAAUGUCCCUUCUUUAAAAUCCCAUUCCUCUAAAAAAAUGGAAUAUGACGUUUUUUAACAUAAUUUCAGUGAAGCUAGGGACUCGUUUGAGAAAGUUUUCACUAGAUAUUUGGUUUUCCAAUAUAUUUGUGUGGUAUAUGUUAUGCUUGUUUUCUCAUUUGAAUAAUGUAAAGAUCUGUGAAAUGGUCGUUGGCUUUACUUUAUUGAAUUUUCUCACUUUACAUUUCUAAUGCCCAUAACAUGUUUGAGAGAAUGCCUUAAAGAGCGACAUAUACGUAUAUAUAUAUAUAAAUAUUUAUUCAAUUGGUGUUUGAUUUUCAAGAACAUGUUUAUUUCUACACAUAACAAGUGAGUUUACUAUCUCUCUCUCUUUCUCUAUAUAUAUAUUUAUAGUUAAGCUAGGAUUAAUAAAGUUGGUUCUGUAUAGACCUGAAAUGUUCUUUGUAUUAGAUUUGGUAUUUUUUAUAUAGCAAAUGAUGAUAUUUUAAAGGCACCGUGAGACGGCAGGCAUAAUCAGGAAAGGGAAAAUGUGUUAUGUUCAUUAACAAUCUUCACACAGGAGUUGGUAGGCUUGGAGGAACAACACAGACAACUUUGGUGCCCUAAGAGACAAAUUUUAUGAUGAUAAAGUGAGGGAAUGGAUCUCUCGAAUUGGUGUGGAGAACAUCGGAAAGACACUUGUAAACUCAAAAGAAGGACCCCCAUCAUUUGAACAGCCAAAGAUGACUCCUGAAAAGCUUUUUGAGUAUGGAAGCAUGCUUGUAGAAGAGCAAGAAAAUGAAAAGAGAGUUCAGUUUUCAGACAAGUACUUGAAAGAAACAGCUCUUGGAGAUGCAAAUGAAGAUGCCAUCAGCUAAUGAUGCACAGAUUCUUCUAGAAUGUGCUACAAACUCAGAUUAUGGAUUUCCAAUGCCGCCCCAAGGAAAAUAUUAUCUUAUUGAUUCUGGCUAUACAAACAUGCCUGAUUUUCUUUCGCCAUAUCGAGGGGAAAGGUAUCAUUUGGGCUAGCACACAGAUCUUAAUCCCAUAGGAAAAAAAAAGCUUUUCAAUUAUCGACACUCUUCCUUGAGAAAUGUCAUUGAGCGGUGUUGAAGGCGUGUUGAAGGCUCGCUUUCCAAUCCUAAAGCAAAUGCCUCCAUAUGAUCUAAGAAUACAAAAGUAUAUUGUCAUUGCUUGUUGUGGGAUUCACAAUUUUAUAAAGACAAAUGCAGAAGCCGAUGUAUAUUUUGAUGGAGGUGAAGGAAAUUAUGAAGUAUAGGCCACUACUUUACAAAGCACGGAUGGAACUUUGACUAAUAAUGUAGAGUUCAGUAUUUCUAGAACUCAUAUACGUGAAAUGGCUCAUGUUCGUGAUGAAUUGCUGAUCAUAUAUGGAGAGCUAGUCGACGAUAGUGAGAUUGAGUAAAUACAUUAGUUGAUUGUUAUGACUCAUUUAAUACUUUACUUUAAGUUUAGACAAUUAUCAGUUCAUACGUUUUUAUUUUACUAUGUAGACUUUAUUGAUUUUGUAUUAUCUCAUGGAUAGAUAUUAAAUUUCGAAAUUUGAGAUUACUUUGAUAUUAUUAAUA